AGUGAACGCUGGCGGUAGGCCUAACACAUGCCAGUCGAACGGCAGCACAGUAAGUGCUUGCUCUUACGGGUGGCGAGUGGCGGACGGGUGAGGAAUACAUCGGAAUCUACUUUUUCGUGGGGGAUAACGUAGGGAAACUUACGCUAAUACCGCAUACGACCUACGGUUGAAAGCAGUUGAUCUUCUGACCUUGCGCGAUUGAAUGAGCCGAUGUCGGAUUAGCUAGUUGGCUGGGUAAAGGCCCACCAAGGCGACGAUCCGUAGAUGGUCUGAGAGGAUGAUCAGCAACACUGGAACUGAGACACGGACCAGACACCUACGGGAGGAAGCAGUGGGGAAUAUUGGACAAUGGGCGCAAGCCUGAUCCAGCCAUACCGCGUGGGUGAAGAAGGACUUCGGGUUGUAAAGCCCUUUUGUUGGGAAAGAAAAGCAGCAGGUUAAUACCCCGCUGUUCUGACGGUACCCAAAGAAUAAGCACCGGCUAACUUCGUG
rnacentral:rRNA from 1 species